UCGGCGUCUAAGGUAGGCUUCCACUACAAUACCUUACUGAUGAGUCCAGUAGUGGAAGCCGGGACGAAACGCCAA
rnacentral:hammerhead_ribozyme from 15 species